UGCCUAACACAUGCAAGUCGAGCGAUCUUCUUCGGAAGGGAGCGGCGGACGGGUGAGUAACGCGUGGGUAACCUGCCCUGUACACACGGAUAACAUACCGAAAGGUAUGCUAAUACGGGAUAACAUAAGAAAGUCGCAUGGCUUUCUUAUCAAAGCUUUUGCGGUACAGGAUGGACCCGCGUCUGAUUAGCUAGUUGGUAAGGUAACGGCUUACCAAGGCGACGAUCAGUAGCCGACCUGAGAGGGUGAUCGGCCACAUUGGAACUGAGACACGGUCCAAACUCCUACGGGAGGCAGCAGUGGGGAAUAUUGCACAAUGGGCGAAAGCCUGAUGCAGCAACGCCGCGUGAGCGAUGAAGGCCUUCGGGUCGUAAAGCUCUGUCCUCAAGGAAGAUAAUGACGGUACUUGAGGAGGAAGCCCCGGCUAACUACGUGCCAGCAGCCGCGGUAAUACGUAGGGGGCUAGCGUUAUCCGGAAUUACUGGGCGUAAAGGGUGCGUAGCGGUCUUUCAAGUCAGAAGUGAAAGGCUACGGCUCAACCGUAGUAAGCUUUUGAAACUGUAAGACUUGAGUGCAGGAGAGGAGAGUGGAAUUCCUAGUGUAGCGGUGAAAUGCGUAGAUAUUAGGAGGAACACCAGUUGCGAAGGCGGCUCUCU
rnacentral:rRNA from 1 species